rnacentral:rRNA from 1 species
AGUGAACGCUGGCGGUAGGCCUAACACAUGCAAGUCGAACGGCAGCACAGUAAGAGCUUGCUCUUACGGGUGGCGAGUGGCGGACGGGUGAGGAAUACAUCGGAAUCUACUUUUUCGUGGGGGAUAACGUAGGGAAACUUACGCUAAUACCGCAUACGACCUACGGGUGAAAGCAGGGGAUCUUCGGACCUUGCGCGAUUGAAUGAGCCGAUGUCGGAUUAGCUAGUUGGCGGGGUAAAGGCCCACCAAGGCGACGAUCCGUAGCUGGUCUGAGAGGAUGAUCAGCCACACUGGAACUGAGACACGGUCCAGACUCCUACGGGAGGCAGCGGUGGGGAAUAUUGGACAAUGGGCGCAAGCCUGAUCCAGCCAUACCGCGUGGGUGAAGAAGGCCUUCGGGUUGUAAGCCCUUUUGUUGGGAAAGAAAAGCAGCAGGUUAAUACCCAGCUGUUCUGACGGUACCCAAAGAAUAAGCACCGGCUAACUUCGUG